AUGGGAAGCAGUGAAGCAGAGACACCUGCUAAGGCAAACAAGGCAUCCGCACCUCAGGAGCAGCAGCCACCUGCUACUUCGAGUACUGCAACACCGACAGUUUACCCAGAUUGGACCAGCUUUCAGGGAUAUCCUCCAAUUCCACCACAUGGGUUCUUUCCCUCUCCCGUGGUGUCAAACCCACAGGGUCAUCCAUACAUGUGGGGACCUCAGCCUAUGAUGCCACCAUAUGGGAGUCCACCAUAUGUCAUAUACCCUCCUGGAGGAAUUUAUGCUCACCCAUCAAUGCGACCGGGUGCACACCCAUUUGCUCCCUAUACCAUGACUUCUCCAAACGGCAAUCCUGAUGCUGCUGGAACUACCACCACUGCUGCUACUGCUGGUGGUGAAACAAAUGGCAAAUCCUCCGAAGGAAAAGAAAAAAGUCCCAUUAAAAGAUCCAAAGGAAGUUUGGGUAGCUUGAACAUGAUUACAGGGAAAAACUGUGUCGAACAUGGUAAGACCUCAGGGGCAUCAGCCAAUGGAACCAUCUCUCAAAGUGGGGAAAGUGGAAGUGAAAGUUCAAGUGAGGGAAGUGAAGCGAAUUCUCAGAAUGAUUCACAACACAAGGAAAGUGGACAAGAACAAGAUGGAGAUGUCCGAAGUUCCCAGAAUGGUGUAUCACCUUCACCAUCCCAGGCGCAGUUGAAGCAAACUUUGGCAAUUAUGCAAAUGCCAUCAAGUGGUCCAGUGCCUGGCCCAACAACAAACUUGAACAUAGGAAUGGACUACUGGGCAAAUACAGCAAGCUCCUCUCCUGCAUUGCAUGGUAAAGUGACCCCAACUGCAAUUCCAGGGGCUGUGGCCCCAACAGAGCCGUGGAUGCAGGAUGAACGUGAACUGAAAAGGCAGAAAAGAAAGCAGUCAAACAGGGAUUCUGCUCGCAGAUCUAGGCUGCGCAAGCAGGCUGAAUGUGAGGAGUUGGCUCAGCGGGCUGAAGUAUUGAAACAGGAAAAUGCUUCACUUAAAGAUGAAGUGAGCCGGAUCAGAAAGGAGUACGAUGAACUUCUGUCAAAGAAUAGCUCACUGAAGGAUAACGUUGGAGACAAACAACACAAAACUGAUGAGGCAGGACUUGACAAUAAGCUGCAACAUUCUGGUGAUGACAGCCAGAAGGACACUAAUUGA
rnacentral:rRNA from 1 species